UACGGAGGAUGCGAGCGUUAUCCGGAUUUAUUGGGUUUAAAGGGUGCGUAGGCGGGUUCUUAAGCGUGAGGUGAAAUGCCACGGCUCAACCGUGGAACUGCCUCGCGAACUGGGAGUCUGGAAUGCCCCUGCCGUGGGAGGAAUGUGUGGUGUAGCGGUGAAAUGCAUAGAGAUCACACAGAACACCGAUUGCGAAGGCAUCUCACGAAGGGGUGAUUGACGCUGAGGCACGAAAGCGUGGGGAU
rnacentral:rRNA from 1 species